rnacentral:rRNA from 1 species
UACGGAGGGUGCGAGCGUUGUCCGGAAUCACUGGGCGUAAAGGGCGCGUAGGCGGCGCGACAAGUCAACGGUGAAAGCUCGGGGCUCAACCCCGAGUCGGCCGUCGAUACUGUUGGGCUGGAGCACUGUAGAGGCAGGUGGAAUUCCGGGUGUAGCGGUGGAAUGCGUAGAGAUCGGCAGGAACACCCAGGGGGAAACCAGUCGACUGGGCAGCACCUGACGCUGAGGUGCGAGAGCGUGGGGAGCGAACCGG